rnacentral:misc_RNA from 1 species
GUAACUAUUAUGUUUUUCAGACGCUGAUUGCAACUGCAAAGGGUUUAAUUUUGUCCAAUCGGCGGGCGGACCCGCCGAGGAAACGUAAGUACUCAAAAGACAUGGGUAAGAGAUAGCAGGCAAAGCCCGCAAACUCUAGGUAAUGAUCCUUCCGCAGGUUCACCUACGGAAA